rnacentral:rRNA from 1 species
UACGGGGGGGGCAAGCGUUGUUCGGAAUUACUGGGCGUAAAGGGCUCGUAGGCGGCCAACUAAGUCGGAUGUGAAAUCCCCGGGCUUAACCUGGGAACUGCAUCCGAUACUGGAUGGCUUGAAUCCGGGAGAGGGAUGCGGAAUUCCAGGUGUAGCGGUGAAAUGCGUAGAUAUCUGGAGGAACACCGGUGGCGAAGGCGGCAUCCUGGACCGGCAUUGACGCUGAGGAGCGAAAGCCAGGGGAGCAAACGGG